CUGCACAGUCACUGUGCAGUAUCACUGUGCAUACUGCACAGUCACUGUGCAUACUGCACAGUCACUGUACAG